rnacentral:lncRNA from 1 species
AAGAGAUUCCCAAAAGCCAUGUAAGUGCCAGGGACAGGUUCUGAUCUCACUGCUAGGAGCAUUCCAAAGGGGCAGAGAGCCUUAAUCAGCCCCACGGAGGCUCCCUAACUGUUGGUCCAGAGUCCAUGAGUUGUCUCUGUGGGUUCCUGAAUCAUGAGCCCUCUGUCUCAUACAAUCCCUCCUCCUUUUCUUCAGUAAGACUCCUGGAACUCAGCCCACUGCUUAGCUGUGGGUUUCUGCAUCUGCUUCCAUCAGUUACUGGAUAGAGUAUCUCUAAUGACAAUUACGGUAGUCACCAAUCUGGUUACAGUGUAUAUGCAGUUCAAAGCCUAUCCAUUUUUCAAUUCCACAGUUGUAUCAAAUUCAAAUUACAGAAUAAUCUUGUUUAGACCCAGUUGUACUUAGUAUGAAGAAAGGGAACUUGUUAUUCUCGGGUCAUGUGAGUCUUGACACUGGGUGAGUGAAUCUCAUUUUCAAGGAACUCCUCUCUUUCCCUGUUCUUUCCUAGGCUCUAGUUGUUGCUGAUUUCAUAGAAAUACACCCCUGUGCACACACACAUACAGUGUGGCUAGUGUAUUGAAGGCCCUAACCCCACUGUGUUCACAACUCAGGCUUUUGCAAAAUGUCUUAGUUAAGUUUCCAUUGCUGUGACAAAACCCUAUAACCAAAAGCCACUUGGGGAAGAAAUGGUUUAUUUAGUUGACAUGUUUUUCAGGGCAGGAACUCAAGGCAGCAGCAUGGAAGCAGGGAUUAUAGCCAUGACAGAAUGUUACUUACAGGCUUGCUCACCAUGGUUUGCUCAGCCUACUGUUUUAGACCACCCAAGACCACCUGCCCAGGAGUGGCCAGGGCAAUCAUUUGUCAAGAAAAUGCCCUGCAGAAUUGUCUACAGGCAAUCCAAUGGAAGCAUUUUCUAAAUCAAGGCUUCUCUUCUCAGAGUCUAACUUGUGUCAGGGUGACAAAAUGUGAGCCAGGACAGAAGUGAUUGUAUCCUUGGUACCUUAACAUCAAUGGAUUAGUCUACUGAUGGGAUUCAUCAUCUCAUGGCAUUACUGUGAAGUGUCAGAAACUAAAAGGAAUUGUGUCACUAGGAGAAUUCUCUAGAAAGAAAUCUUGUUAUGAGUCCAUUUCCCAUCAUGCCCAUUUGUUUUUUGGCUACCACAAGGUUAGCAGCUUUGUUCAACAAUGCCGUGAUCGGAUGGAUGUUGCCAUUAGCCCAGAGACAGUGCAAGCUGCCAGUCGCUGGAACUUCUGAAACAAUGAGCCAAAGUGAAUCACCUUCCUUCAAACUGUUCCAGGUCUUUGUCAUAGCAACAGGAAGAGUGACAGCCAUACGAUACUGAUAUCCAGAGAAGUAAGGUUGCUUCUAUAACCCUGUGUAAUGUUCAGAAGUCUUUGGAACUGAACUUCUGUGGGAGAAGAAAAAUAUGUGGACCAGUGGAGUAGAAGUCUCUAAACAGAAGCUACUGGGAAAUUCUUGGGAUGGCUUAGAAGACUAAAAGAUGGGACGAACUCAGCCAGAAAGAGGAACACUUAGGAAAUUACUGAAGUAUGCCUGUGAAUGUGAAGUGACAAGACUUUUCUUGGGAAGACUCAACACAACACCUAGGGAGGAAACCCACAGGCAGACCAAAGUCCAGCUUGGCGAAUCAUGAGUUUUAUUGGGGUCAUUUAUAUGAAUAAAGGUUAAGGGUUACUUAUAGGAGGAGAAAUGACUCAAAGACACAGCACCACCAAAGUCCACCCCAGCACGAGUGACUGGAGCACACUGAACAACUUACAGGCACCUCAACAGGUUGUAUAGUGUUCUUCCCAAAUGACUCAGUUGGCCUAAAUCUCUUCUAGGCAGCUUGACUGGAUUUUACUUCUUCCAGGUAGCAGGUCUGGUCUCAGACUCUUCUUUGUGGGUUGGUUUUUCUAAGAGUGAUUCUCAGCAACUUUGUUACUUACUCUAGGAAGGGCCUAGAACAUUUAGUCAGUUUCAGGGACUUCCUGAAGCUAUUUUAAGCCAUUUGCCUGCCUUGCAUUUUCCUGCAAGAAGCAACAUUUCAACCUCGGAGUAAACUGUGAUAAGAUAGUGAGAAGUUUCCCGGUCAGAUCAUGAAGCCUCUGUCAUGAUCAAUAAUUUAAUUCACUGAUUGUCUGAAGAUUUGAAUACACUUCAAAUCUGAAUACAUUUGAAUACAUUUGAAGGUGACAGAAGUAUGGAAGGCAAGGGCUUGGUUAGAGUAGCUAAGUUUCUCAAAGCAUGUCUUUGAAGGGUCUCUUUUGGCCCGGGUCCAUUUGCAUUGCUUCCUGGAUGUGUGAGAUGGGCCCCUUUUCUCUGCCACGCCUAUCUUAAAUUUUGUUUCUGUUCUUCCACAGGCCUAAAAGUAUCAGAGUCCCCAGUCAUAGGUAGAAAGCUCUGAAACCACAAAUCCAAACAUUGUUCCCUCAGGAACUUUUCACGGAGAUUGAAGACUUUCUGACGCAUUGUUUCUCACCGUUUCCCUCCUCCAAAUUUUCAGUAUUUCCUGUGUGUCAAAGCAAAGAUUCUCAUCAAGUCUUCUGCAUACUACACCAGUCCCUGAAGCAAGCCCGCUCGUAACAAGACAGAAGAACAGAUGACAAAUGUUUCUCACAUUCUCUGCUUGUCUCUUCAUCCUGUGAAUUGUUUCCUCUGCCGCACUGAAACUACCUGGCUUGAGGAAAUUUAAAAGCAAGAGACACGGAAGGCCUUCAUCUCUGGAGAUCCAAGAAAAGAAGACAUGAAAAUGUGACUUUAUGAGUGAAGAAACCUAGGUGCUAAAAUUGGAAGAUGCUGAGGGAUACCAGUGCUGAGGUGCACACUGAGGCCAGAAGAGGCUGUUGGAUCUCCUGGAGUUACAGAAAUAUGUUUUGACCACGGUUUUCCUGCCCAUGGAUAUGGUCACCGUGUCUGGUGGUUUUUGCAAGGCUCAAGUGGAUUAACUGCUUCCCAGCCUUAGAGACUUGGAUGAACUCUCAAGCAGAAUCUCAUGGCAGAUGGCUGGGAACCUCGCUCAUUAGAAUACUCCCUGUUCCAGAGCUGAGGCACGUUUAGAGUGUGACCUGUGCGUUCAUUCAUCCUGUUUAAUUCAACUAAGAGACAUUGCCUCAGCUACAGACAGUGGCAUCUGCCUUCCAUUCAUUGUGAGUGUCCUCGUGUAAUGAAGGGCAGGUCCUAAACUUCAAUCUCUCCUUUGCUGGAUCUUCGCUGGAAGCAGGCAUCCUCACUUGGAGCAUCAAGAGGAUGACAGUGGGCCAAGGUACACAGAGCUGAAUGAAGAGCAAGCAUAUCUUCUUGGACUACACAUGUUAGUAGGAGAUUUUGGAGCAUAUCCCAUUUUAAUUAAAAGAAACACAGUUAUGGUGAAGAAAUAAAUGUUCAAGUUCAAUGGCUUCUUAUGAAUAAGUACAACACACUUCAAAUCCACUUAAACUCAUAUCAAG